rnacentral:rRNA from 1 species
UACGUAGGCAGCAAGCGUUGUUCGGAAUUACUGGGCGUAAAGAGUGUGUAGGCGGUGCCCUAAGUUUGGUGUGAAAUCUCCCGGCUCAACUGGGAGGGUGCAUCGAAAACUGGGGUGCUCGAGGGUGGGAGAGGUAAGCGGAAUUCCUGGUGUAGCGGUGAAAUGCGUAGAUAUCGGGAAGAACACCCGUGGCGAAGGCGGCUCUCUGGGACGGUACUGACGCUGAGACGCGAAAGCGUGGGGGAGCGAACAGG